rnacentral:rRNA from 1 species
AGUGGCGGACGGGUGAGUAACGCGUGGGUAACCUGCCCUGUACAGGGGGACAACAGUUAGAAAUGACUGCUAAUACCGCAUAAGCGCACAGUACCGCAUGGUACAGUGCGAAAAACUCCGGUGGUACAGGAUGGGCCCGCGUCUGAUUAGUUAGUUGGCGGGGUAACGGCCCACCAAGACGACGAUCAGUAGCCGGCUUGAGAGAGUGAACGGCCACAUUGGGACUGAGACACGGCCCAA